CAGCAGACACAUUCCAGCCAAUCAGCAGGAGACCCUCCCUCCCAGACCCUCCCACCUCCUGGACAGCAUCCAUUUUGAAGCUGCAUUCUUAGUGAGCUGUCCAGGAGGUGGGAGGAUCUGGGAGGGAGGGUCUGCUGCUGAUUGGCUGGAAUGUGUCUGCUG